rnacentral:rRNA from 1 species
AUUGAACGCUAGCGGGAUGCUUUACACAUGCAAGUCGAACGGAGUGGCGGACGGGUGAGUAAUAUAUCGGAAAGUGCCCCUUAGCGGGGGAUAACUACUCGAAAGAGUGGCUAAUACCGCCUACUAUAGGAGCAGCCGAUAUCGGAUGAGCUAGUUGGGGGGGUAAAGGCUCACCAGGGCAACGAUCCGUAGCUGGUUUGAGAGGACGACCAGCCAAACUGGGACUGAGAACCGGCCCAGAGUCCUACGGGAGGCAGCAGGGGGGAAUUUUGGACAAGGGGGGAAACCCUGAUCACGCCAUCCCGCGUGUAUGAUGAAGGCCUUCGGGUUGUAAAGUACUUUUGGCAGAGAAGCGGUACCGGCAGAAUAAGCACCGGCUAACUACGUGCCAGCAGCCGCGGUAAUAC